AGUCCUUCCCUCCUGUGGCUGGUGGGGUUGUUCCCGGUGGAAGAAUAGGACCUACAAUUGGCAAAGGCGGCAAUGGCAGAUUGGGACCUACCACUGGAGGUAUGGGUAGCCCUGAAAUCGGAGGAAGGGGUAGCUUAGGGACGGUCACUGGAGGAACGGGUAGCUUAGGUACAGUUACCGGGGGAACGGGUAGCUUAGGGACUGUCACUGGAGGAACGGGUAGCUUGGGGACGGUCACUGGAGGAACGGGUAGCUUGGGGACGGUCACAGGAGGAACGGGUAGCUUAGGUACAGUCACUGGUGGAACGGGUAGCUUAGGGAUGGUCACAGGAGGAACGGGUAGCUUAGGGACGGUCACCGGAGGGACUGGUAGCUUAGGGACGGUCACCGGAGGAACUGGUAGCUUAGGGACGGUCACCGGAGGAACUGGUAGCUUAGGGGCUUUAGGGGAGUGCUUUCCGCCCUUCCGUGGGUUGCAAGAGCCGCAUGCGAGAGAAUGUUGGGGGAGAUAGAUAAUGCAAAUGAGGAAGAGGCAAAGAGAGAGAGAUGAGAGUUUGGAGGAGUCCAUGUUGAGUAGAGUGGAUGGUGUAACUAUACGAAAGAGUAUAUGAAUAUAUAGAGGGAAAAUGAGAAGAAGAAUUCACGUGAAGAUGGGGGCUACUUCUGCAAUAAGAAGAGACGCCCCAAAAUAAGCAUGGUUGGCAAUUAUCAUAAGAAUACAAGAUUUCCUUGAUGACCCAUCGCUAUAUAUCAUCACAUGUCGACCACACUUUUUUCACUUUUUUUUUUCUAAGUGCCUCUUGUUCUUGGGUUAACUACAACUUUUAACAACGUGUAACUUCAGUUUCAACAGUACAGUACAUUUAACUUGUAGGAAUUGUAAUGAAUCAACUUAGCGAGACUAGGUCAUUAUGAGAUAUCAUCAAUACUAAAUAACAUUUUGAUGAUGUAAACACUCUAGGAAAAGCAGAUAAUAUAGUAUCAUAUGGUUUUCGCUUUAGUGUGUGGCUUCAUAAGCAUCUCCAUGCAUGAGUCGACUGCUAAGGAACAUAUAGAUCUGCACCAUAGUGAAGACGGCUUAGUCUAUUCAAAACACUAAUGUUGUGCCUUUCGAGGACCUCCCGAGACUCGAAUUCGAAUGCACUCUCCAAAGGUAUUAUGUUAGGGAAAAAACCUUAUUAAACCAAAUAUGUUACUGUUUAACCCAUACACGAAAAUUAGAUAUAUAAAUGUUGAACAAAUAGCAUAUAGUUAUAUCCAAUAUAUACGUACAUGAGAGGUAAAGAAGACAGCAAGACUGACAUGUGAAAUUCGGGAUACACUUUUGUUGUUUGGUGAUUUUGUUACGUAGUGUCAUUAAAGAAACGAUCAUGUGUGCGUGGACCAUCUUCUUCUUUUUACCGCUCAUUUCCCUUUUUACCAUAUCUACUACAAAAGAGUCCGAACUGACCAUUUAAUGAACGAGUACCAUUCAAUUCAUAAACUCCCCGUAUCAAUCUAACUGACACUGUAAAAGUUAUAAUGUUAAUAUAUAAAAAUAAUAUGGUUAUUUAGCAUGAAUAAUAACUUUUUAUAAUUGAGAGUAUGUCUAGCUAACAUUGGUGAUUGGUGCUUACAUAAAUCAUAUUUUUCAAACCACUUAACAAGAACUUUACAUAUUCAAUGAUAAACGAAUCACAUUUAUACAAUAUACCAUUCAAAAAUAAUAUUGUAAGAUGAUUUGAAAUUAAACGAUUGUAAUAUAUAAUGUGUUAAAAGUAAUGUAUUAUAGAUAUCUUGUAAUUAUUUAAAGGGUUUUGUGCAAAAAAAAAAACCACUAACUCAUACAUUUUUCCAAUUUACUAUCCAGCUCUAAUAAAUGCACAUUAAUCCUAUGAAUCUAAAAUAAUACGCAUUGUAACCCUUUUUGACCAUUUUUUGCUACCAUCAAUUUUGUAAAAUAUUGAUAUAUAAUAUGUUAAAUCAAAGCUCUCGCGACCAAGAGUUCAACUCUACCUUUAAAAAUUUUAAAAUGUAAUGUAUGUAACCGUAAAAACGCUUGUAAUAUGCAUAUGAAAUUUAUAUUACAUAUUAUGUUAAACUUCAUAAGAUUAAUCUGCAUUUGUUGGUAGUGCAUUUGUUAGAGGUGGAAGGUAAUGUUGCAAAAAUAGAUGAGUUAAAAGAUUUCUUUUUGCACAAAACCCUUUAUUUAAACUACUAACAAUAUAAUAUAUAAAUAAUUUAAAACAUAUAUCUCUAUAAUUCAUGAAGUAAUAAUGGUGUACCCUAUCCUUACCAACGAAUAAUAAAGAAAUGAUAUUAACUCUGAUUCAAAAGCUAUAUAUAAGAUAUUCUUUUUUUUUCCUCGGGAGGGAUACGAAUCCGGUAACAUGAAUCAGUGUCCAAUAAGAGCCAGUGGUCGUAAAUUCCAAAUGACAGAUGGAUGACUCAUUUUAAUUCGUAACUUUUGUCAGCUGCGAUAUAUGCUAAUGAAACCUGAGGUGCUAGAUUUUGAUUUUAAUGGCUUUAGAUUCUUACUCAACACUCAAUGGCCCACUCGUUAAUCUCUUACCUUCUAAAGUGAGUUAUGAUCCACUGCUUCUUUCUUCUUGUAGAUAGAUGGACCUGUUUUUUUUAGGUUGUGAUUUGUGGACAUUAAUCAACAACCCAUGUUUAUACGUGAUAAUGUCUGGAGCUAUAUGUAAAGGCGAUAUGGAGGACAACAUUCCUCUAUUCUAACUUUAAAAGCCAUGUAGUUAGGGCUGGACACCAAUAUUCUUUUUUUUUUUGCUAAAUUGUAAAUAUCAUUUUGAUGAAAAAUCAGGUUUUACAACAGUUGUAUAACCUAAAACAUUUGAACUCUUUGGCAAAAAAGAAUAAAAAAACGAAGAGCCAAUCGAGAGCUGCAUAGAACUCGGUAGUUUCAUAGCAGCCACAACGCUAUUAACUUGCGAAAAAGGAGUCUGUUUCUUCUUGAGGUGAUAACGUUUUUGAUUUUGCGGUUGAUGCACUUGAAUAUAGAAUGCGGAGAGAGGGAAGUAGCGUUGUGCAGGACAUUGUUAGGCUGCUUCAAGAUGUGGAAGACCUUAGACUGAACGACAAUAAUUUUAAGAACUGAUGAAGCCAAUAUUCAUCAUUUUCAAACAAAAAAUAUCUUUUGUUUGACACCAAUAUCCUUGACCAGCUUCAAACAAAGGAUAUACAUCAUUUUUAAGUCGGGUAAGGCAAAUGAGUAUAAGGAUUCUCAUUACACAU
rnacentral:lncRNA from 1 species